rnacentral:rRNA from 1 species
AUAUUGGCCAGAGACCGAUAGCGCACAAGUAGAGUGAUCGAAAGAUGAAAAGCACUUUGGAAAGAGAGUUAAAAAGCACGUGAAAUUGUUAAAAGGGAAGGGAUUGCAACCAGACUUGCUCGCGGUGUUCCGCCGGUCUUCUGACCGGUCUACUCGCCGCGUUGCAGGCCAGCAUCGUCCGGUGCCGCUGGAUAAGACUUGAGGAAUGUAGCUCCCUCGGGAGUGUUAUAGCCUCUUGUGAUGCAGCGAGCGCCGGGCGAGGUCCGCGCUUCGGCCAGGAUGCUGGCGUAAUGGUCGUAAUCCGCCCGUCUUGAAACACGGACC